rnacentral:rRNA from 1 species
AGCGAACGCUGGCGGCAGGCUUAACACAUGCAAGUCGAGCGCCCCGCAAGGGGUGCGGCAGACGGGAGAGUAACACGUGGGAACAUACCUUUUUGUUCGGAACAACUGAGGGAAACUUCAGCUAAUACCGGAUAAGCCCUUACGGGGAAAGAUUUAUCGCCGAAAGAUUGGCCCGCGUCUGAUUAGCUAGUUGGUGAGGUAACGGCUCACCAAGGCGACGAUCAGUAGCUGGUCUGAGAGGAUGAUCAGCCUCACUGGGACUGAGACACGGCCCAGACUCCUACGGGAGGCAGCAGUGGGGAAUAUUGGACAAUGGGGGCAACCCUGAUCCAGCCAUGCGGCGUGAGUGAUGAAGGCCUUAGGGUUGUAAAGCUCUUUUGCCCGGGAAGAUAAUGACGGUACCGGGAGAAUAAGCCCCGGCUAACUUCGUG